rnacentral:rRNA from 1 species
UACGUAGGGGGGCUAGCGUUGUCCGGAAUCAUUGGGCGUAAAGAGCGUGUAGGCGGUCCGGUAAGUCCGCUGUGAAAGUCGGGGGCUCAACCCUCGAAUGCCGGUGGAUACUGUCGGGCUAGAGUGCGGAAGAGGCGAGUGGAAUUCCUGGUGUAGCGGUGAAAUGCGCAGAUAUCAGGAGGAACACCGGUGGCGAAGGCGGAUCUCUGGGCCGUAACUGACGCUGAGGAGCGAAAGCAUGGGUAGCGAACAGG